CUUUUCUUCCCUUGACAAGCUCCGGCUGCCUGAAACAAAAUAUCCGGAGUCAGGAUUCAUUGGAAGUCCCAACUCUCCAAGCAAACCUUGAUUCACCGGCCCGGUGUCGCGAUCCAGCGGCCGAGCGCUGCUCAGGAGCAGGAAGGGCUGGAGAAGGAGGUGGAGGCAGCUCAGGGGUUCCUGUCAGCCCCCACACACCCCAAACUCUGCUCAGAACCUUCGCUGCUGCUCCUUUGGGAUUCCAGGUUGGUUUGUCCCUCCCUGAGUGCCAGGAGCUGGCAGUGCCAUGUCUGUCCCUUGUCCCCUUCUGGACACCUCUGGGGACACUUCCUUGCCUGAGGGCUGGCCCCACAGCCUUUCCCUCGGAGGAAUAUUUGGAGGAUGAGGCAGGCUGUGUCCCUUCCCUUGCUUGGGGCUUCUGUCCCAUCCUCCAGCACGGCACAGCCUGGCUCCGUUCAUGCACGGCUCCAUCCUGGAUGGAUCCCACCCCUGCUGUCCCACCUCCAGCUCCCAGGGCAAGGAGGCUCAGCCUUGAGGAACCAUUCCCAAACCCUGGACCAUCCCUGGGAGCAUCCCUGGGAGUGCUGUGUGAGCUCAGCGAUUCAAUCUGCGAAUGCAACGUGCGUGAAAGGAACCUGGAGCCAUCCUGCAGGAGCACCCAGGAGUCUCCAUCACCUUCUGCUGGGAGCCACAAAAAUGCGGCGUGAAAACGCAGCUCUGGUGUGAGAGCUGAGAAUCUCACACGGAGGCAAGAGACGGCAGAUGGGACAAUCUGCGGGGCUGAGGAGCACGGAGGAGCAGUGAGACAACACUGGCUGCCACGGCAGGCAAGACCACUCAAACUCGCCGGGGUUCUGUGGGAAAAGAGGAGAUUUCAGGAAGGAUUUGGGAGGAAAUGCAGAGAUUUUCUUGGGUAGCUUCCAAACUGCAGCUGUGUGUGGUGAUCCAGGGCUGGGAUCCAGGGCUGGGGGAGAAGGGGAUCUCUGGAUGCUGAAUGCUGCACCUGGGAUGGGUGGGAAGAGGAGAGGGAAGGGAAAAAGGAGCUGUGGAGGAGCUCUGU